ACUUUUUAAACUAAUUGCAUUACCUUUUCUCGUGUUUUAUUUAUUUAUUUGAUAGAUACCCGUUUCUCGACUGGUCAGGGACCAUCAACCGGGCACUUUUCGAACACAUUUUCAUACAGAUUUCACAAUACCUGGAAGUUUGGCUCACUUCUUCUCCAAACUGAAGAGCUAAUUUGUUUAUUUCCGAUUUUGUUAACAUUUGUAUUUGAGAACCGUACAGGGGUUUCAAAAUUGCCUAAAUUGACCUCACAAAAGUUCUAUGUGUGCGGACAGAUAUGUCUGACUCAAAUAAUCGCUUGGUUGAUUUGUUAUUUCAUUUUAAUAUACAUAUAAUAUACAAUAUUACAGCAGCAUAUGCUGAAAUUUUGAGUGUUCUUUCGUUUACUAAGCAAGUGAUUAUAUCUAGUUAAACUGGUCAGGUAUUUCACUCUUUUAUCAGAAUUUCAACAUCAACGUCCUUGUUAUAGGCAUACAAUUAUUCACAAUUAGGGAAGUUAAACUCAGUUUAAUGAAUUAAUUAUAAAAGAAACAUGCAUUUAUUUUUAAUAAAAAGCGACUGUUUGAUCGACAGCCACUGAACAAAGAAAACAACUAAACCAGGCGUUUUAGGUUUGAUGGUCGUCCAGAUUUGGUGGUCCGCACUGCCUUAAUUUUCUUACUUCAUAAUUAUUUCACAGGUUUCGAAAUACAUGCAUGUUGUAGAGCCAGUACUUUGAUCAAUAUUCCACCUUUAUUUCCAUUUGGUAGCAAAGUUUUACUGAAUUUGCUUCCGAAAAUCGAACAUUUAAAUAAAAUUAUGAAUUUAUUGCAGUUAAAUCAUAAAUAGUAUGAAUGGACGUUAUCAUGUACCUAGUAAAUGUAUGUCUAGCUGUGACAACAUAGAAUUUGAAAUAUGGAUAUAUUUUGAGCAUUUUAGGACAAUGUCAGCAAAGAUACAUUAAAAUAUAACCUCAAACACUGUUUAAAGUUUAACCUUAUUUUUGUAACCUAUAUUUAAUAUAACCUAAAAUAUCAAUAUAAAAUAUAUAAACUUAUGAUCAUUCUUAAAAGGGAAAAGAAAUAGUUUGACGGAGCCAACAUUUGACGGAAUAGACAUAAAUUAGUAAAACAAAAAAGGAGUUUUCCUUAUAAAGCUGACUUUGUCUAAUUUGCAGUUUAUUAACCACAAUAUGUGAACAUUUAUCAUUGAUUUAAUAUUUAAUUGAAACAACAAAAGUAUUACGCUAUAUGAUCAUGAAAAAGAGACAUUGACCAGAUAUAUAACAUUUUAGCUUGAGCGUGAUUUUUCUCAUGUUUGAAAUAUCUCUUAAAACCCUGUCUAAACACAGAAUCACGUUCAAAAAAGUGCAUACCAGCUCCCGAUGGCUCUUGUAUCAUGACCAGAAAUCCACCAAAGUGUGACCAUCCUAAUUGCAUUAAUGGUGGUUGUGUGGGAUGGGUUGGUGCUUGCGCUGGAAUAUGCUACUGUCACGGGUCUGGUUAUGAGUACAGAUGCAAAUUUAAUACAUGCGAUGUGGUUGGCUAAAACACUGACAAAUUUUGUCUUGUUGCCAUACUUAUAUAUAUCUAUGAUAAUAAAUUUCAUAGGCUUUGCA